rnacentral:rRNA from 1 species
AUUGAACGCUGGCGGCAGGCCUAACACAUGCAAGUCGAACGAGUGGCGGACGGGUGAGUAAUGUCUGGGAAACUGCCCGAUGGAGGGGGAUAACUACUGGAAACGGUAGCUAAUACCGCAUACCAUCGGAUGUGCCCAGAUGGGAUUAGCUUGUAGGUGAGGUAACGGCUCACCGAGGCGACGAUCCCUAGCUGGUCUGAGAGGAUGACCAGACACACGGGAACUGAUACACGGGCCAGAAGCCUACGGUAGGCAGAAGGGGGGAAUAUUGCACAAUGGGCGCAAGCCUGAUGAAGCCACGGCGCGUUGAUGAAGAAGGCCUUCGGGUUGUAAAGUACUUUCAGCGGGGAGGCGUGACCCGCAGAAGAAGCACCGGCUAACUCCGUGCCAGCAGCCGCUGUAAUAC